rnacentral:rRNA from 1 species
CCUACGGGUGGCAGCAGUGAGGAAUAUUGGUCAAUGGGCGCGAGCCUGAACCAGCCAAGUAGCGUGAAGGAUGACUGCCCUACGGGUUGUACACUUCUUUUAUAAAGGAAUAAAGUGAGGCACGUGUGCCUUUUUGUAUGUACUUUAUGAAUAAGGAUCGGCUAACUCCGUGCCAGCAGCCGCGGUAAUACGGAGGGUCCGAGCGUUAUCCGGAUUUGGUGGGUUUAAAGGGAGCGUAGAUGGGUUGUUAAGUCAGUUGUGAAAGUGUGCGGCUCAACCAUAAAAUUGCAGUUGAAACUGGCAGUCUUGAGUACAGUAGAGGUGGGCAGAAUUCGUGGUGUAGCGGUGAAAUGCGUAGAUAUCACGAAGAACUCCGAUUGCGAAGGCAGCUCACUGGACUGCAACUGACACUGAGGCUCGAAAGUGUGGGUAUCAAACAGGAUUAGAUACCCGGGUAGUC